GACGAACGCUGGCGGCGUGCCUAAUACAUGCAAGUAGAACGCUGAAGGAGGAGCUUGCUUCUCUGGAUGAGUUGCGGACGGGUGAGUAACGCGUAGGUAACCUGCCUGGUAGCGGGGGAUAACUAUUGGAAACGAUAGCUAAUACCGCAUAAGAGUAGAUGUUGCAUGACAUUUGCUUAAAAGGUGCAAUUGCAUCACUACCAGAUGGACCUGCGUUGUAUUAGCUAGUUGGUGAGGUAACGGCUCACCAAGGCAACGAUACAUAGCCGACCUGAGAGGGUGAUCGGCCACACUGGGACUGAGACACGGCCCAGACUCCUACGGGAGGCAGCAGUAGGGAAUCUUCGGCAAUGGACGGAAGUCUGACCGAGCAACGCCGCGUGAGUGAAGAAGGUUUUCGGAUCGUAAAGCUCUGUUGUAAGAGAAGAACGAGUGUGAGAGUGGAAAGUUCACACUGUGACGGUAUCUUACCAGAAAGGGACGGCUAACUACGUG
rnacentral:rRNA from 1 species